rnacentral:rRNA from 1 species
GACGAACGCUGGCGGCGUGCCUAAUACAUGCAAGUAGAACGAGUUGCGAACGGGUGAGUAACGCGUGGUAACCUGCCUCAUAGCGGGGGAAAACUAUUGGAAACGAUAGCUAAUACCGCAUACUGUGAGAUGGACCUGCGUGGGAUUAGCUAGUUGUUGAGGUAAAGGCUCACCAAGGCGAAGAUACAUAGCCGAGCUGAGAGGGUGAUCGGCCACACUGGGACUGAGACACGGUCCAGACUCCUACGGGAGGCAGCAGUGGGGAAUAUUGCACAAUGGGCGCAAGCCUGAUGCAGCCAUGCCGCGUGUAUGAAGAAGGCCUUCGGGUUGUAAAGUACUUUCAGCGGGGAGGCGUUACCCGCAGAAGAAGCACCGGCUAACUCCGUGCCAGCCGCCGCGGUAAUAC